rnacentral:rRNA from 1 species
GAUGAACGCUGGCGGCGUGCCUAAUACAUGCAAGUCGAGCGAACGGACGAGUAGCUUGCUUUUCUGAUGUUAGCGGCGGACGGGUGAGUAACACGUGGAUAACCUACCUAUAAGACUGGGAUAACUUCGGGAAACCGGAGCUAAUACCGGAUAAUAUUUUGAACCGCAUGGUUCAAAAGUGAAAGACGGUCUUGCUGUCACUUAUAGAUGGAUCCGCGCUGCAUUAGCUAGUUGGUAAGGUAACGGCUUACCAAGGCAACGAUGCAUAGCCGACCUGAGAGGGUGAUCGGCCACACUGGAACUGAGACACGGUCCAGACUCCUACGGGAGGCAGCAGUAGGGAAUCUUCCGCAAUGGGCGAAAGCCUGACGGAGCAACGCCGCGUGAGUGAUGAAGGUCUUCGGAUCGUAAAACUCUGUUAUUAGGGAAGAACAAAUGUGUAAGUAACUGUGCACAUCUUGACGGUACCUAAUCAGAAAGCCACGGCUAACUACGUG